CCUACGCGUGGCAGCAGUGGGGAAUAUUGGUCAAUGGAGGAAACUCUGACCCAGCAACGCCGCGUGAAGGAUGAAGGUUUUCGGAUUGUAAACUUCUUUCGCGAGGGAUGAAGAAUGACGGUACCUCGUAAGAAAGCCCCGGCAAACUACGUGCCAGCAGCCGCGGUAAUAUGUAGGGGGCGCGCGUUGGCCGGAAUGACUGGGCGUAAAGGGAGUGUAGGCGGCAUGUUAAGUUAUGUGUGAAAGCCCGCGGGUCAACCGCGGAAGUGCACAUAAUACUGGUAAGCUGGAGUGCAGGAGAGGGAAGUGGAAUUCCUGGUGUAGCGGUGAAAUGCGUAGAUAUUAGGAGGAACACCAGUGGCGAAGGAGGACUGCUGGACGAUGACUGACGCUGAGGCUCGAAAGCGUGGGGAGCAAACAGGAUUAGAUACCCCUGUAGUC
rnacentral:rRNA from 1 species